rnacentral:rRNA from 1 species
AGUGAACGCUGGCGGUAGGCCUAACACAUGCAAGUCGAACGGCAGCACAGGAGAGCUUGCUCUCUGGGUGGCGAGUGGCGGACGGGUGAGGAAUACAUCGGAAUCUACCUUUUCGUGGGGGAUAACGUAGGGAAACUUACGCUAAUACCGCAUACGACCUACGGGUGAAAGUGGGGGACCGCCAGGCCUCACGCGAUUAGAUGAGCCGAUGUCCGAUGAGCUAGUUGGCGGGGUAAUGGCCCACCAAGGCGACGAUCGGUAGCUGGUCUGAGAGGAUGAUCAGCCACACUGGAACUGAGACACGGUCCAGACUCCUACGGGAGGCAGCAGUGGGGAAUAUUGGACAAUGGGCGCAAGCCUGAUCCAGCCAUACCGCGUGGGUGAAGAAGGCCUUCGGGUUGUAAAGCCCUUUUGUUGGGAAAGAAAUCCUAUCGGUUAAUAACCGGUGGGGAUGACGGUACCCAAAGAAUAAGCACCGACUAACUUCGUGCCAGCAGCCGCGGUAAUAC